rnacentral:rRNA from 1 species
CGCGGCCUAUCAGCUUGUUGGUGAGGUAACGGCUCACCAAGGCGACGACGGGUAGCUGGUCUGAGAGGACGAUCAGCCACACUGGAACUGAGACACGGUCCAGACACCUACGGGUGGCAGCAGUCGAGAAUCAUUCACAAUGGACGAAAGUCUGAUGGUGCAACGCCGCGUGGAGGAUGAAGGCCCUAGGGUCGUAAACUCCUGUCAUCAGGGAGUAAGCCUUGGUCGUUAAUAGCUUCCAAGGUUGAUAGUACCUGAAGAGGAAGGGACGGCUAACUUCGUGCCAGCAGCCGCGGUAAUACGAAGGUCCCAAGCGUUGUUCGGAAUCACUGGGCGUAAAGAGUAUGUAGGCGGCAAGGUAAGUCAGAUGUGAAAGCCCGGGGCUCAACCUCGGAACUGCAUCCGAUACUGCUUUGCUUGAGUAAUGGAGGGGUGACUGGAAUUCUCGGUGUAGCAGUGAAAUGCGUAGAUAUCGAGAGGAACACUCGUGGCGAAGGCGAGUCACUGGACAUUUACUGACGCUGAGAUACGAAGGCCAGGGUAGCGAAAGGGAUUAGAUACCCCUGUAGUCCUGGCAGUAAACGGUGCGCGCUUGGUGUGGGAGGAUUCGACCCCUUCCGUGCCGGAGCUAACGCGUUAAGCGCCCCGCCUGGGGAGUACGG